rnacentral:rRNA from 1 species
GACGAACGCUGGCGGCGUGCUUAACACAUGCAAGUCGAACGGAAAGGCCCUUCGGGGUACUCGAGUGGCGAACGGGUGAGUAACACGUGGGUGAUCUGCCCUGCACUUUGGGAUAAGCCUGGGAAACUGGGUCUAAUACCGAAUAGGACCACGCGCUUCAUGGUGUGUGGUGGAAAGCUUUUGCGGUGUGGGAUGGGCCCGCGGCCUAUGAGCUUGUUGGUGGGGUAAUGGCCUACCAAGGCGACGACGGGUAGCCGGCCUGAGAGGGUGACCGGCCACACUGGGACUGAGAUACGGCCCAGACUCCUACGGGAGGCAGCAGUGGGGAAUAUUGCACAAUGGGCGCAAGCCUGAUGCAGCGACGCCGCGUGAGGGAUGACGGCCUUCGGGUUGUAAACCUCUUUCAAUAGGGACGAAGCGCAAGUGACGGUACCUAUAGAAGAAGCACCGGCCAACUACGUG